rnacentral:rRNA from 1 species
UAGGAUGCUGGCGUAAUGGUCGUAAUCCGCCCGUCUUGGAACACGGACCAAGGAGUCUAACAUCUAUGCGAGUGUUCGGGUGUCAAACCCCUACGCGUAAUGAAAGUGAACGGAGGUGAGAACCGCAAGGUGCAUCAUCGACCGAUCCUGAUGUCUUCGGAUGGAUUUGAGUAAGAGCAUAGCUGUUGGGACCCGAAAGAUGGUGAACUA